CUUAUAUCAUAUUUCAUCAAAUUUAUCAACAUCAACAAAACAAACAAAUGAGCUGCCCUGCUAUGGCCCAAUUGCUGUCAAACACUCUCUACUACAAACGUUUCUUUCCUUACUACUCAUUCAAUGUUUUAGGUGGUCUCGAUAACGAAGGCAAGGGUUGUGUCUUCACAUACGAUGUUGUUGGUUCCUACGAGAAGGUUGGAUAUAGC